AGUGAACGCUGGCGGUAGGCCUAACACAUGCAAGUCGAACGGCAGCACAGGAGAGCUUGCUCUCUGGGUGGCGAGUGGAGGACGGGUGAGGAAUACAUCGGAAUCUACUCUGUCGUGGGGGAGAACGUAGGGAAACUUACGCUAAUACCGCAUACGACCUACGGGUGAAAGCAGGGGCCCUUCGGGCCUUGCGCGAUUGAAUGAGCCGAUGUCGGAUUAGCGAGUUGGCGGGGUAAAGGCCCACCAAGGCGACGAUCCGUAGCUGGUCUGAGAGGAUGAUCAGCCACACUGGAACUGAGACACGGUCCAGACUCCUACGGGAGGCAGCAGUGGGGAAUAUUGGACAAUGGGCGCAAGCCUGAUCCAGCCAUACCGCGUGGGUGAAGAAGGCCUUCGGGUUGUAAAGCCCUUUUGUUGGGAAAGAAAUCCAGCUGGCUAAUACCCGGUUGGGAUGACGGUACCCAAAGAAUAAGCACCGGCUAACUUCGUGCCAGCCGCCGCGGUAA
rnacentral:rRNA from 1 species